UACGUAGGUGGCAAGCGUUGUCCGGAUUUACUGGGCGUAAAGAGCGCGCAGGCGGUUCAUCAAGUCGAAUGUGAAAGCCCCCGGCUUAACUGGGGAGGGUCAUUCGAUACUGUUGGACUUGAAGGCAGGAGAGGGAAGUGGAAUUCCCGGUGUAGUGGUGAAAUGCGUAGAGAUGUGGAGGAACACCGAUGGCGAAGGCAGCCCCCUGGGCCAAUACUGACGCUCAUGCACGAAAGCGUGGGGAGCAAACAGG
rnacentral:rRNA from 1 species